rnacentral:piRNA from 1 species
UUGACUCUAGCAGACAGUCAGGCAUUCAUAA